GUGGCGCUGAGCCCUGAAGCCGCCGCAUCUCAGACUUCGGAAAGACCUUCCGUGCCAGGCGCUGCCCUUUCCUGCAGAAACCCGCAAACCAAGCUCAAGACUCAGGAAUCAAGCCCCAAAAAGAUCCUUCUCCCUGUGCCGCACAUUCCAGGGUGAGUUUCCAGCAUCGUCUGGCCUGGCUGUGUUCUCGUGUUGUACACUCAGUCUUCAUUAUCUCGGUUGCAUCCAGGAUUCAACAACCGUCCAAGUGCUGGCUCCUGUGUUUUUUGUCUUCAAUCAUUCCUGGAAUAAAACUUACAAUCACAUAUAGAAAUGUAUUCUGGGUCACCCACAAUUUUUCCAGAAUAAAGC
ensembl:lincRNA